rnacentral:rRNA from 1 species
GACGGGGGAUGCAAGUGUUAUCCGGAAUCACUGGGCGUAAAGCGUCUGCAGGUGGUUUUCUAAGUCUACUGUUAAACCUUGAGGCUCAACCUCAAAUAUGCAGUGGAAACUGGGAGACUUGAGUAUAGUAGGGGUAGAGGGAAUUUCCAGUGGAGCGGUGAAAUGCGUAGAUAUUGGAAAGAACACCGAUGGCGAAGGCACUCUACUGGGCUAUUACUGACACUCAGAGACGAAAGCUAGGGGAGCAAAUGGG